rnacentral:rRNA from 1 species
GAUGAACGCUAGCGGCAGGCCUAACACAUGCACGUCGAGGGAGAAGCCCUUUCGGGGGCUGAAACCGGCGCACGGGUGCGUCACGCGUAUGCAACCUACCUUUCACAGGGGGAUAGCCCGAAGAAAUUUGGAUUCAUACCCCAUAAUAUUAUUGGAUGGCAUCAUUUGAUAAUUAAAACUGCGGUGGUGAAAGAUGGGCAUGCGUCCUAUUAGCUAGUUGGAGUGGUAACGGCACCCCAAGGCUACGAUAGGUAGGGGUCCUGAGAGGGAGAUCCCCCACACGGGUACUGAGACAGGAACCAGACUCCUGCGGGAGGCAGCAGUGAGGAAUAUUGGGCAAUGGGCGGAAGAUUGAACCAGCCAUGCCGCGUGCAGGAAGAAUGCCUUAUGGGUUGUAAACUGCUUUUAUAUGGGAAGAAUAAGGCGUACGUGUACGUUGAUGACGGUACCAUAUGAAUAAGCAGCGGCUGACGCCGUG